rnacentral:tRNA from 1 species
AGGGGAAUCGUUUAAUGAUAAGACACUGGUCUCCAAAACCAGCAGAUGAUGGUUCAAGUCCAUUUUCCCCUGCCA